GAUGAACGCUGGCGGCGUGCCUAACACAUGCAAGUCGAGCGAACGGACGAGAAGCUUGCUUCUCUGACGUUAGCGGCGGACGGGUGAGUAACACGUGGAUAACCUACCUAUAAGACUGGGAUAACUUCGGGAAACCGGAGCUAAUACCGGAUAAUAUUUUGAACCGCAUGGUUCAAAAGUAAAAGACGGUCUUGCUGUCACUUAUAGAUGGAUCCGCGCUGCAUUAGCUAGUUGGUAAGGUAACGGCUUACCAAGGCAACGAUGCAUAGCCGACCUGAGAGGGUGAUCGGCCACACUGGAACUGAGACACGGUCCAGACUCCUACGGGAGGCAGCAGUAGGGAAUCUUCCGCAAUGGGCGAAAGCCUGACGGAGCAACGCCGCGUGAGUGAUGAAGGUCUUCGGAUCGUAAAACUCUGUUAUUAGGGAAGAACAUAUGUGUAAGUAACUGUGCACAUCUUGACGGUACCUAAUCAGAAAGCCACGGCUAACUACGUGCCAGCAGCCGCGGUAAUACGUAGGUGGCAAGCGUUAUCCGGAAUUAUUGGGCGUAAAGCGCGCGUAGGCGGUUUUUUAAGUCUGAUGUGAAAGCCCACGGCUCAACCGUGGAGGGUCAUUGGAAACUGGAAAACUUGAGUGCAGAAGAGGAAAGUGGAAUUCCAUGUGUAGCGGUGAAAUGCGCAGAGAUAUGGAGGAACACCAGUGGCGAAGGCGACUUUCUGGUCUGUAACUGACGCUGAUGUGCGAAAGCGUGGGGAUCAAACAGGAUUAGAUACCCUGGUAGUCCACGCCGUAAACGAUGAGUGCUAAGUGUUAGGGGGUUUCCGCCCCUUAGUGCUGCAGCUAACGCAUUAAGCACUCCGCCUGGGGAGUACGACCGCAAGGUUGAAACUCAAAGGAAUUGACGGGGACCCGCACAAGCGGUGGAGCAUGUGGUUUAAUUCGAAGCAACGCGAAGAACCUUACCAAAUCUUGACAUCCUUUGACAACUCUAGAGAUAGAGCCUUCCCCUUCGGGGGACAAAGUGACAGGUGGUGCAUGGUUGUCGUCAGCUCGUGUCGUGAGAUGUUGGGUUAAGUCCCGCAACGAGCGCAACCCUUAAGCUUAGUUGCCAUCAUUAAGUUGGGCACUCUAAGUUGACUGCCGGUGACAAACCGGAGGAAGGUGGGGAUGACGUCAAAUCAUCAUGCCCCUUAUGAUUUGGGCCACACACGUGCUACAAUGGACAAUACAAAGGGCAGCGAAACCGCGAGGUCAAGCAAAUCCCAUAAAGUUGUUCUCAGUUCGGAUUGUAGUCUGCAACUCGACUACAUGAAGCUGGAAUCGCUAGUAAUCGUAGAUCAGCAUGCUACGGUGAAUACGUUCCCGGGUCU
rnacentral:rRNA from 1 species